rnacentral:misc_RNA from 1 species
AAGACUAUAGACCUGCGGAGUACCUGCGGAAGGAUCAUUACCGAGUUAUCAACUCCCAAACCCCUGUGAACAUACCCGAACGUUGCCUCGGCGGGACCGCCCCGGCGCCCCUAGCGGCCCGGAACCAGGCGCCCGCCGGAGGACCCAAACUCUUGCUUUAAACAGUGGCAUACUCUCUGAGUCUCACAAACAAAAAAUAAAUCAAAACUUUUAGCAACGGAUCUCUAGAUCGGAAGAGCA